rnacentral:rRNA from 1 species
AGCAGCCGCGGUAAUUCCAGCUCCAAUAGCGUAUAUUAAAGUUGUUGCAGUUAAAAAGCUCGUAGUUGAAUUUCGGAGUUUGUCGGUUGGUCGGGCUUCACUGUCCGCACUGACCUGAUGGAUUCCUACCUUCUGAAUAACCAGCAUGCUAUUAAGUUAGUGCGUUGGGGAAGCAGAGCUAUUACCUUGAAAAAUUAGAGUGCUUAAAGCAGGCUUAUGCUUGAAUAGAUUAGCAUGGAAUAAUAAAAUAGGACGGCAUGGUUCUAUUUUGUUGGUUUCUAGGAUCACCGUAAUGAUUAAUAGGGAUAGUUGGGGGCAUUAGUAUUCAAUUGUCAGAGGUGAAAUUCUUGGAUUUAUUGAAGACUAACUUCUGCGAAAGCAUUUGCCAAGGAUGUUUUCAUUAAUCAAGAACGAAAGUUAGGGGAUCGAAGACGAUCAGAUACCGUCGUAGUCUUAACCAUAAACUAUGCCGAC